rnacentral:rRNA from 1 species
UAAAACAUGUCUUCUUGAUGGUUAAUUAGAAGUCUAGCCUGCCCAAUGUGAGAUUAAUGGCCGCGGUAUCUUGACCGUGCGAAGGUAGCAUAAUGAAUAGUCUAUUAAUUGUGGUCUGGAAUGAAGGGUUUGACGAGGGAUAGCUUUCUUAAUUUUAAAAUUGAAUUUGAAUUAUUGGUGAAAAUGCUAAUAUGUAUUAGAUGGACAAGAAGACCCUAUAGAGCUUUAUAUUUAUCUUAAUCUUAGUGGUAUAUUUGUUAAGUAUAUAUUUUGUUGGGGCGACAUUGAAUAUUAAACAUUUAAUUUGAGAUCUUUAUUAAAGGUAAGGUGAUCCAUUAUUAAUGAUUUGAGACUAAGCUACCUUAGGGAUAACAGCGUAAUUUUAUCUUAGAGUUCUUAUCGAUGAUGAAGUUUGCGACCUCGAUGUUGGAUUAAAAUUCCUAUGGGACGCAGGAGUUUCAUAAGGUAGUCYGUUCGACUAUUAAAAUUUUACAUGAUCUGAGUAAA